rnacentral:rRNA from 1 species
UAGUCCACGCCGUAAACGAUGUCAACUAGCCGUCGGGCUCAUUAUAAGGGUUUGGUGGCGCAGCUAACGCGAUAAGUUGACCGCCUGGGGAGUACGCCGGCAACGGUAAAACUCAAAUGAAUUGACGGGGGCCCGCACAAGCGGUGGAGCAUGUGGUUUAAUUCGAUGCAACGCGAAAAACCUUACCUACCCUUGACAUCCUCAGAACUUGUUAGAGAUAACUUGGUGCCUUCGGGAACUGAGUGACAGGUGCUGCAUGGCUGUCGUCAGCUCGUGUCGUGAGAUGUUGGGUUAAGUCCCGCAACGAGCGCAACCCUUGUCCCUAGUUGCCAGCACGUAAAGGUGGGAACUCUAGGGAGACUGCCGGUGACAAACCGGAGGAAGGUGGGGAUGACGUCAAGUCCUCAUGGCCCUUACGGGUUGGGCUACACACGUGCUACAAUGGGCAGUACAAAGGGCCGCUAAGCCGCGAGGUGGAGCAAAUCCUAUAAAACUGUUCGUAGUCCGGAUCGGAGUCUGCAACUCGACU